rnacentral:tRNA from 1 species
GCAAUGGUGGUUCAGUGGUAGAAUUCUCGCCUUUCAUGAGGAAGACUCAGGUGUGAUUCCUGGCCAGUGCA